CUCCUAAUCCUCCUCUCUCUCUCUCUCUCUCUCUCUCUCUCUCUCUCUCUCUGUAUAAUCACAUACAAAACUUCUUUACUCUCUUUUCUCGUUCUCUCGGUUUUAUCCUCUUCUAAAAUCCUAGCAACGCCUCUCUCUCUCUCUCUCUCUCUAUAUAUAUAUAUAUAUAUAUAUAUGCUCGAUUCAAGGCAUAAAGAAUUCACACUUCCCUGCAAUUCAUUUCAAAAUAAUAAAAUGCCACUGUUUUGCCUAUAAAUUGUUUAUGACUUCUCGAAGAUCUUUUGUGCGUUUUUCUCUUCUUCUUUUUUUUUUUUUCUGGUUUAGUGGGAGACCUUUUCUUUGUUUUUUGUUUUUUUGACGGGUUAAGUAGUAAUUAAUCCGUUAAAAUGCAAUUUUGGGAUAUUUUUGGAGGAAUUAUGAAUUACCCUGGAUGUUUCGCGUAAUUUCAAAGUGGCCGUUAUAUUUUU
rnacentral:lncRNA from 1 species